ACUGGCUUGUGGCAGCCAAGCGCUUUUAUCGACGUUGCUUUUUGCAAUGGCGGUUCUUCCUUUUAUCGUGGCGCAGAAUUCGCCAAGUGCUGGAUUGUGCUAACAGGGAACGGUGAACUGGGUUUAGGCUGUCAUGAGGCAGGUAGGCUUCACCCUACGGAUGAAAGUUUGUCAUACAAGAAUCG
rnacentral:rRNA from 1 species